rnacentral:rRNA from 2 species
AAAUUGAAGAGUUUGAUCAUGGCUCAGAUUGAACGCUGGCGGCAGGCCUAACACAUGCAAGUCGAACGGUAACAGGAAGCAGCUUGCUGCUUUGCUGACGAGUGGCGGACGGGUGAGUAAUGUCUGGGAAACUGCCUGAUGGAGGGGGAUAACUACUGGAAACGGUGGCUAAUACCGCAUAACGUCGCAAGACCAAAGAGGGGGACCUUCGGGCCUCUUGCCAUCAGAUGUGCCCAGAUGGGAUUAGCUAGUUGGUGAGGUAACGGCUCACCAAGGCGACGAUCCCUAGCUGGUCUGAGAGGAUGACCAGCCACACUGGAACUGAGACACGGUCCAGACUCCUACGGGAGGCAGCAGUGGGGAAUAUUGCACAAUGGGCGCAAGCCUGAUGCAGCCAUGCCGCGUGUAUGAAGAAGGCCUUCGGGUUGUAAAGUACUUUCAGCGGGGAGGAAGGGAGUAAGGUUAAUAACCUUAUU